CAAUGAUGAGUUGCUUCACUUCAGAAGACUGUUCUUCCAUCAUUGAAGAUGGAUUUCUUGAUUUUGGUUGAUCCCAGUAGCACAGAGGAAUACCCUGCUUCGUGGCACGGAGCUGGUGUUUUCCACAAUGGUUUUACAGUUUAAUUAAGAAGUCUUCCAUCUUCAGCUCCAGAUUGCCUGAGUUUGUGUCUGAUUGAUGAAAGGCAGGAGUUUAAGUGCAGACUACUUCCCUACAGAGGCUCACAUCAGCAUCAGAAGGUUGUAUUAUUCUUAGUAUAUUUUAAACUUUAUAAAUCCAUGAUGGUUAGAAAAGAACUGUGCUUUUUUAAAAUAAAAAAAAAAAAAAUAUUAGUACUAUGAAAAGCAUCCUAAUUCUCUUCUGUAAUGUAUCUUCCCUGUAUUCCUUGCUGUCACUUUUUUCCCCUGAAUAUGAAAGUUUAAAAAAAUAUGAUUUUUACACAGGAGAAAGGGUGUUGUUAGAAGGACAAGUAAUUGUAGGUGGGGGUUAGAAGUUGUUUAUAAAUUAGCCCUUUAAAAAUAAAUGUACAUUUUCUUUUGUCAUUGGAAUAUGAAAGUCAGAUUCUCAUGUAGUCCUACAGAGUAAAAUGAAUGGCAGACUCCUUUGUAUUUGAAUUAGAAAGUGGGCUGUAGAUCUGGGUAUUCUUGGCAUUAUCUGGCUUCUUAAAGGUUACAGGCAUAUGGGCCUAGCGUUUCUUGUAGUGUUUUGAUUUUUCUGUUUGACAAUGUGAUAAGCUGAGGUAUGGAAGAGUCUGACAUAUCCGGGUCCCUGCAAACAUCUGGAUGGAGUAAGCAAAGCUAAUAUGGUUCACCAAAACUUGGCUCCCAUAUGUUAUAUCCUUCCACUUGUGUAUCAGGAUUUCAUCAUGGGGUCUGGAUUUGUUAAUCUCUGCAGGCAUCAAAUCUGUUCAUAACAAGUGGUUUUGAUUGACAUGUGAGCAGCUGUGAUUGAUAAACUGAAAGGAAAAACUGAAACGCAAACUGCUGACUGUUUCUCAGCAUUGUACCAGCUUGUUAUAACAGCAAAAUCUGCUUUUAAAAAAAUAAACAGGAGGAGCCUUACAAACUUCUGGUUCAGUGUUCUGUUUUGUUGCUGCCAUGGCCAAAAGUGAGAAAAAAAAAAAAAUAAAAAGGAAGAAAGA
rnacentral:lncRNA from 1 species